rnacentral:rRNA from 1 species
AUUGAACGCUGGCGGCAGGCUUAACACAUGCAAGUCGAACGAGUGGCGGACGGGUGAGUAAUGCUUGGGAAUCUUGCUUAUGGAGGGGGAUAACUACGGGAAACUGUAGCCAAUACCGCGUACCAUAGGAUGAGCCCAAGUGGGAUUAGGUAGUGGGUGGGGUAAAGGCUCACCAAGCCGACGAUGUCUAGCUGGUCGGAGAGGUGGACCAGCCACACUGGGACUGAGACACGGCCCAGACUCCUACGGGAGGCAGCAGUGGGGAAUAUUGCACAAGGGGGGCAAGCCUGAUGCAGCCAUGCGGCGGGUAUGAAGAAGGCCUUCGGGUGGUAAAGUACUUUCAGUCGGGAGGCGUUACCGACAGAAGAAGCACCGGCUAACUCCGUGCCAGCAGCCGCGGUAAUAC